AUUGAACGCUGGCGGCAUGCUUUACACAUGCAAGUCGAACGGUAACAGGCCUUCGGGUGCUGACGAGUGGCGAACGGGUGCGUAAUGCAUCGGAACGUACCCAGAGGUGGGGGAUAACGCAGCGAAAGCUGUGCUAAUACCGCAUGUGAUCUGAGGAUGAAAGCGGGGGACCGAGCAGCAAUGUUUGGCCUCGCGCCUUUGGAGCGGCCGAUGUCGGAUUAGCUAGUUGGUGGGGUAAAGGCCUACCAAGGCGACGAUCCGUAGCUGGUCUGAGAGGACGAACAAGCACACUGGGACUGAGACACGGCCCAGACUCCUACGGGAGGCAGCAGUGGGGAAUUUUGGACAAUGGGCGAAAGCCUGAUCCAGCAAUGCCGCGUGCGGGAAGAAGGCCUUCGGGUUGUAAACCGCUUUUGGCAGGAACGAAACGGUGUCCGCUAAUACCGGGCGCUAAUGACGGUACCUGCAGAAUAAGCACCGGCUAACUACGUG
rnacentral:rRNA from 1 species